ACGAACGCUAGCGGCGUGCCUAAGAAAUGCAAGUCGAGCGAGGUUAGAGAGCUUGCUCUCGAAGCCUAGCGGCGAACGGUCGCGUAACACGUAAGCAACCUGCCCCAAAGCGGGGGAUAGCCCUCUGAAAGGAGGAUUAAUACCGCAUGUGGACACUUUAUUGCAUGAUUGAGUGUCUAAAGCAGCAAUGCACUUUGGGAUGGGCUUGCGGCCUAUCAGCUAGUUGGCGAGGUAACGGCUCACCAAGGCGACGACGGGUAGCUGGUCUGAGAGGAUGGUCAGCCGGACUGGGACUGAGAUACGGCCCAGACUCCUACGGGGGGCAGCAAUUAGGAAUCUUGCGCAAUGGGCGAAAGCCUGACGCAGCGACGCCGCGUGACUGAUGAAGUCUUUCGGGAUGUAAAGGUCUUUUUUGGGGGAAGAAGGAUGUGACGGUACCCCAAGAAUAAGCCCCGGCUAACUACGU
rnacentral:rRNA from 1 species